CAAUAACUGCAUAAUCAUUUUAAAUUUUCAUAGUGUCCCCCUUGCAAAUGCAUGGUGGGGAUUCUGCAAAAUCUUUGCCUCUUUCUAAAGGGAAAUGCAUGCCACUUCUACAUAAUAUUGUGCCCCCCCAACUGAAAUUCUGCCGCUCCCUCGAACCGGCCCAACAUAAAGGGAGCACAAGGUCUGUUCAGACCUGUCUCCUUGCUCCCUAACAAAGCAAGCUGGCUAUUAAUGCACACUGAAGCUGUGCUCGCCAAGACAGAGCAGCGAGACAGAGGUCUAUAUGAACAGAUGUUGUGCUUGCACCACAGGACUUAAGAAAGGUAAGUGAAGGGGAGAGAUAGAGAGUGAGAAAGAGGACACCAAGUGAGAAGUAGAGAGAAAAGGGGGAAUGAGAAAGACGAGAGAUUGGGAAAAGGAGAGAUUAUGAGAAAGGGGAGAGAUAAGGAGCAGCUAUGGGGACAAAGCAUACAGAUAAUGAGAAAUGGGGGCGAUAGCGAGAAUAGAGAGAAAUAAAGUAAAAUGGUAAAAGAAAUUAAAAAAAGAGGAGCGAUAAAGAGGAGGGGAGCUAAAGAGAAAGAGGAGGGGUGAUAUACAGAAAGGCGGGGAUAUGGAAAAAAGGUGAGAUAAAGAGAAAGGGGAAACGAGAAAGAGGAUGAGAGAAAAAGAUAAAGGAUGGGAAGACAAAUAGAACAAAGAGAUAAAAAGGGGAUAAUUAGAAAGAGGAGAGAAAAGAGAAAGAGGAGAAAUACUUAAAAGGGGUAUCAAAGAGAAAGUGGAGAGUUAAAAAGAAAUGGGAGAGAUAAGGAGAAAGGGAGAGAUAAAGAGAACAGAGGAGAAGUAGAGAGAACAGGGAGAGACAAGAUAAAGAUAAAUGAGAGAGAGAAUGAAAAAGGGAGUAAAAUGAGGGGGAGAGAGAAAAAUAAAGGGGAGAUGUAGGGAGAAAUAGGAGAAAUAAAGAGAAAGAGAGAUAAGCAGAAAGGGGAGAAGAGGGAGAGAUAAAGAGAAAGGUGAGAGAGAAAGAGGAGGAGAGACAUUGAGAAAGAGUGGAGGAUAAAGAGAACAAUGAUAAAUACAAAGAGAAGGGACAAAUAAAGAGAAAGGGGAGAAAUAGAAAGGAGAAAUAAAGAGAAAGAGCAGGAGCGCUAAUGAGAAUGGGAUCAAAGUGAAGUAGGAGAGAUAAAGAGAAGUGGGAGAGAUAAAGAGAAAAAGUAGGAUCAAAGAGAAGGGUAGAGUAAAACAGAAAGGGGAGCGAAAAAGGGGGAAAAUGGUCAUAAAGAAAAAAUGAGAAAGAGGAGAGAUAAUGAGAUGGGGAGAAAUUAUGAGAAAGGAGAGGGAGUGUGUGUGUUUUGAAAGUGUGUAGUAUAUUUGUGUAUUUUGACAGUCUAUCCAUUGACUGUUUUGGGCCUAAAAAAUAUAGAAUGAAUAAAGGAUGUGCGUGAAACAGACUUAGAGGAGCACUGACUGAGAGGAGACCUGAGGCUCUGAGAGGAGACCACUGUGGGUGCAAUCUGAGUGCCGGAAUUCAUCAGCUGGAUCAUUGCCUCAAGAUAAACCAGCAACUAGCAAGGUUCGUGGCACGGCGCUCAAACCGAUGUGUGCGGCUUGCAGAAUUGUGUGUGGAGAGACUCUGAAUCUCUACAUGGUCUUAUAAUAGACAAAAAGAACUAAUGGUCACAGUAAGAAAAUAUAUACAUCU